rnacentral:misc_RNA from 1 species
UUGACUUCAUGCAACUUCACGAUAUUGCGUUUCGGUUAUGCAAAAUUAUUUGCUAGCAAGUGUGGUGCACGAAAAUUAACCGGAGCAGUUAAGGUUCAUUCCGGUGCGCAUAAUUUGCAAGAACGAAACGCAGGUGCCAGCGGCCGGUCUGCGGCCAACUUCGUGUGGAAAGCGCGUGCGCUCAUUGGCUCUGCGCAACGCAGCUCAUCCCGUUCCGUUCCAAUAGCAGCCGGGCGGGGAUUGUUCCUGAGCUCAUUCACUUCACUUCCGCAUCGUUCAUUCGGCGACGCCAUAGAAGUUAUUAUAAAUAAACUCUUGUGUUUCUCUUUAGCUUUGCAUCUUCGCCAUUUUGUUUGCACAGUGUUUCGAGCUUUUACUAACAAUUUUCAGGUGUUUAACGUGUGUUUAACCAUAGUAAUAAUAGUGGAAAUUGACGGCACGUUCAGCGAUCACUAAAUUAGUGAUAAUUGUGUCAGAUUGUAUAGUUUAAACUGCCAGCUUCAAUCUUCUGGCUGGGCUUCGCGAUUGGUUUUCUGUGCUUGAAGCCUGAACAGCACUUUAUAUUAUUGUGUGCAAUUUGUAAUUUUUUUGAGGAAGUCGUGUUGUGUGUCACAAUAUGGCCGACGACGAUCUCAAAAGGUUAAGAGCGGCCAGGGGACAAUCAAAGGCGGCCAUUACGAGGAUGAUGGCCUUUAAGGCGACAGCGGAGGCUGCUUCUAGCAGCGAUGCGGACCCUCUGCUAUACCAGCAGAAGAAUGAUAGGCUUGAAAAGACUUUUCAAGAAUAUAAGGAACUCAACCUUGAAAUUUCAUUGUUGGACCCUGCGGAUUCCGAACGUGUUGAGGACUUCGAGGAGAAAUAUGAUCUGCUCAAAUCGUUCUAUGCGGGUGUAGUAAACAAGGCAUUGGACGCCUCUACGUCGAGCGUCUCACCGCAACCAUCCUUUUCGUCUCCUGGAGGCUGUAAUGCCUCGCCAUUUAGGCUGCCUCCAAUAAAUCUAAAAGUGUUCGCGGGAGAGAGCAACGGGCUGCUGCCUUGGAGUCCCUGGGAGAGCGGACGCCUUCAGGGCGCCGGUCUAGUUUAGUUGCAAGUAGUGUUAAAGUGGCCAAGCCGCUUAAGUCGGGUAUAAACAAAUGCGCUUUUGCCGGAGCAGCUGCCAGCCCUGCCUAGCAAGCUGAUCCUGCAGAAUACACGCUUUGGGUUUAU